rnacentral:rRNA from 1 species
AUACGGAGGGAGCAAGCGUUAUUCGGAAUCACUGGGCGUAAAGGACGCGUAGGCGGGUUUGUAAGUCAGGUGUGGAAUCCUACAGCUCAACUGUAGAACUGCACUUGAAACUACAGACCUAGAGUAUGGAAGGGGCAGAUGGAAUUAGUGGUGUAGGGGUAAAAUCCGUAGAUAUCACUAGGAAUACCGAAAGCGAAGGCGAUCUGCUGGGACAUUACUGACGCUGAGGCGUGAAAGCGUGGGGAGCAAACAGGAUUAGAAACCCUAGUAGUCC